rnacentral:rRNA from 1 species
UGGCGAACUGGUGAGUAACACGUGGGGAAUCUGCCCAGAAGCAGGGGAUAACACUUGGAAACAGGUGCUAAUACCGUAUAACAACAAAAUCCSCAUGGAUUUUGUUUGAAAGGKGGCUUCGGCUAUCACUUCUGGAUGAUCCCSCGGCGUAUUAGUUAGUUGGUGAGGUAAAGGCCCMCCAAGACSAUGAUACSUARCCSACCUGARAGGGUAAUCSGCCACAUUGGGACUGARACACGGCCCAAACUCCUACGGGAGGCAGCAGUAGGGAAUCUUCCACAAUGGACGAAAGUCUGAUGGAGCAAUGCCGCGUGAGUGAAGAAGGGUUUCGGCUCGUAAAACUCUGUUGUUAAAGAAGAACACCUUUGAGAGUAACUGUUCAAGGGU